AGAGCGAACGCUGGCGGCAGGCCUAACACAUGCAAGUCGAGCGCCCGUAGCAAUACGGGAGCGGCAGGCGGGAUAGUAACACGUGGGAACGCGCCCUUCGGUUCGGAAUAACUCAGGGAAACUUGAGCUAAUACCGGAUACGCCCUUACGGGGAAAGAUUUAUUGCCGAAGGAACGGCCCGCGUCCGAUUAGCUAGUUGGUGAGGUAAUGGCUCACCAAGGCGACGAUCGGUAGCUGGUCUGAGAGGAUGACCAGCAUCACUGGGACUGAGACACGGCCCAGACUCCUACGGGAGGCAGCAGUGGGGAAUAUUGGACAAUGGGCGCAAGCCUGAUCCAGCCAUGCCGCGUGGAUGAUGAAGGCCUUAGGGUUGUAAAGUCCUUUUAACGGGGAAGAUAAUGACGGUACCCGUAGAAUAAGCCCCGGCUAACUUCGUGUCCAGCAGCCGCA
rnacentral:rRNA from 1 species